AAUGAACGCUGGCGGCAUGCCUUACACAUGCAAGUCGAACGGCAGCGCGGACUUCGGUCUGGCGGCGAGUGGCGAACGGGUGAGUAAUGUAUCGGAACGUACCAUUCAGUGGGGGAUAACGCAGCGAAAGUUGCGCUAAUACCGCAUAUUCUGUGCGCAGGAAAGCAGGGGAUCGCAAGACCUUGCGCUGAUUGAGCGGCCGAUAUCAGAUUAGCUAGUUGGUGAGGUAAAGGCUCACCAAGGCGACGAUCUGUAGCGGGUCUGAGAGGAUGAUCCGCCACACUGAAACUGAGACACGGUCCAGACUCCUACGGGAGGCAGCAGUGGGGAAUUUUGGACAAUGGGCGCAAGCCUGAUCCAGCCAUGCCGCGUGAGUGAAGAAGGCCUUCGGGUUGUAAAGCUCUUUCGGCCGGGAAGAAAUCGUAUGGGUUAAUACCCUGUGCGGAUGACGGUACCGGCAUAAGAAGCACCGGCUAACUACGUGCCAGCAGCCGCGGUAACAC
rnacentral:rRNA from 1 species